rnacentral:rRNA from 1 species
GACGAACGCUGGCGGCGUGCUUAACACAUGCAAGUCGAACGGAAAGGCCCUGCUUUUGUGGGGUGCUCGAGUGGCGAACGGGUGAGUAACACGUGAGUAACCUGCCCUUGACUUUGGGAUAACUUCAGGAAACUGGGGCUAAUACCGGAUAGGAUCUCCUGCUGCAUGGUGGGGGUUGGAAAGUUUCGGCGGUUGGGGAUGGACUCGCGGCUUAUCAGCUUGUUGGUGGGGUAGUGGCUUACCAAGGCUUUGACGGGUAGCCGGCCUGAGAGGGUGACCGGCCACAUUGGGACUGAGAUACGGCCCAGACUCCUACGGGAGGCAGCAGUGGGGAAUAUUGCACAAUGGGCGGAAGCCUGAUGCAGAAACGCCGCGUGCGGAAUGACGGCCUUCGGGUUGUAAACCGCUUUCGCCUGUGACGAAGCGUGAGUGACGGUAAUGGGUAAAGAAGCACCGGCUAACUACGUG